rnacentral:piRNA from 1 species
UGAGAUAGAUCACACAACAAAUGAGGUUUC